rnacentral:lncRNA from 1 species
UUUUGAGUUGCCAUAAAUUGGAUUGAAGUGAGACAGCAUUGCACUAACUCAUCAGCUCCACUCUGCCUUCCAGAGUCAUUAAAGUCCAAUAACAAGCAAAAGUCAAGAUGUCUGGUGAAGGGCCAGGAUACAGUUGGCUUCUCGGAUGUCUAACCAAGCUCUAAGUGAUAAUCAACAGAGUGGAUGGAAGGCUUCAAUGAAAGGGGGAUGGGAAAGGCUUCAUACAGAAGGUGAGACUUUAGAAGAGUGAUGAAAGUCACCAAGGAAAUUGGACAGCAUUGAUAAGGGGGAGACUUCCAGGCAUAGAGGUGGGAAAUUGUGUCUUGUGUGAGGAAUGCCAAGAUAGCCAAUGCCAUGAGAUUGCAGAGUACUUUGGGAGGUAGUUUGAGGUAAGGGAAGACAGAGAAGGUAGGAAGGAGCCAGGUUGGGAAGGGCUUCACAAGCCAAACAGAGGAUUUUAGAUUUGAUCCCGGAGGUGUUAGGCUGCCAUUACAGUUGAUUGAGUAGGGGAGUGGCAUGGUCAGAUGGGGACUGUAGGAAGACCAGUCUGGUAGCCGAGUCGAUGAGGGACUGGAGUGGGCGAGACUAGAGCACCAGCAGCUAUUGCAGCAGACCAGACAUGAGAUGAUGACAAUCUGUACCAGGGUGGUGCCAGCUUCCAAAUCAGGAAUUUUAAGAAAGAUAUGAGACUUUUGGUUUAUCUUCAAAUUUGCUUUUCCAGAGAACAUAGAGUUACUACAUCUGUAACCAUCCAGAAUUGUGUUAUAAGUUGGCCUAAGACUCAGAAGGACCUGGAUGUGGAUCCACCCUGUCAUCCUUGAUGGUCAUAUGAUCCCAGAGGAGGAAACUCUGCCUGCCAAUGCAGGAGGCAACACUUUGAGACUUGAUGCCAAACACAAGUUGUUAAUGUCUGAAGGAACCUCUGCAGAGGGGAAGCCUAUGGUGCUGGAGUUGAUCCAUUUGGGGAGGAGAAAGAGGUGAAUGAAUAUCUGAAAAUGGAAUUAACCAGAUUAUGACUUUCUGGACUUCAGAAGAGUAGAAGAACCAUCAGAGGUCCCGUCAACAUCCAAUCAGGAGCAGAGUCAACAGGAUCCAGCAGCAGGAGCUACCUACAUGGCCUGGACAGCUGAGAUGCCAUCAGAAGGAACUAGCCCUGUUGAGCUAUUCAUUCAUUGUGUUGGGCAAUUCAUUCGUUGUGAUACCACAGCCUGAAGCAAACUUAGUGAGGACUCACUGAAGAAAGAAAAGACUCCUAGGGCCAGGAUUACAAGGUACUCCUUGGCCCCACAUGGCUACCUACAUGUGUGUUCACCAUGUUAGUAUCAACUAUUUUAAUUAUCAACUAUCUUAAGACUAAAUCUACUUUUUCCAGGGACAUUGUAUAUAGAAGAGGAGAAUGGCCUUCCAGUUUGGGGGAUGUAUUUGUAAUCUCUGUCCUCACUAUAUCUUCUUAAUAAAUAUCCCUUUGUAAAAGCUAAUG